UACGUAGGGUGCGAGCGUUGUCCGGAAUUAUUGGGCGUAAAGAGCUCGUAGGCGGUCUGUCGCGUCUGGUGUGAAAAUCCAGGGCUUAACCCUGGACCUGCAUCGGGUACGGGCAGACUAGAGUGCGGUAGGGGAGAUCGGAAUUCCUGGUGUAGCGGUGAAAUGCGCAGAUAUCAGGAGGAACACCGGUGGCGAAGGCGGUGGUCUGGGCCGGCACUGACGCUGAGGAGCGAAAGCGUGGGUAGCAAACAGG
rnacentral:rRNA from 1 species